rnacentral:rRNA from 1 species
CCUACGGGAGGCAGCAGUGGGGAAUCUUGCGCAAUGGGCGAAAGCCUGACGCAGCAACGCCGCGUGCGGGAAGAAGGCUUUCGGGCUGUAAACCGCUUUCAGCAGGAACGAAAAUGACGGUACCUGCAGAAGAAGGAGCGGCCAACUAUGUGCCAGCAGCCGCGGUGAUACAUAGGCUUCAAGCGUUGUCCGGAUUUAUUGGGCGUAAAGAGUUCGUAGGCGGUCGAGUAAGUCGGGUGUGAAAAUUCUGGGCUCAACCCAGAGACGCCACCCGAUACUGCUUGACUUGAGUUCGAUAGGGGAGUGGGGAAUUCCUAGUGUAGCGGUGAAAUGCGCAGAUAUUAGGAGGAACACCGGUGGCGAAGGCGCCACUCUGGAUCGAUACUGACGCUGAGGAACGAAAGCAUGGGUAGCAAACAGGAUUAGAUACCCUGGUAGUCCAUGCCGUAAACGGUGGGCACUAGGUGUGGGUUUCUAUUAACGAAAUCCGCGCCGUCGCUAACGCAUUAAGUGCCCCGCCUGGGGGUAGGUACGGUCGCGAGACGUAAACUACAAUAGUAAGUUAGUACGGUUCGUUGUAGACGUUGCCGACGGCGACGACGAGGGGAGGUUAGG